UACGUAGGGUGCAAGCGUUGUCCGGAAUUAUUGGGCGUAAAGAGCUCGUAGGCGGUCUGUCGCGUCGGACGUGAAAACCCAGGGCUCAACCCUGGGCCUGCGUUCGAUACGGGCAGACUAGAGUUCGGUAGGGGAGACUGGAAUUCCUGGUGUAGCGGUGAAAUGCGCAGAUAUCAGGAGGAACACCAAUGGCGAAGGCAGCUCGCUGGAACGGUACUGACGCUGAGGCGCGAAAGCGUGGGGAGCGAACAGG
rnacentral:rRNA from 1 species